rnacentral:rRNA from 1 species
CACAUGCAAGUCGAACGGGAUGCUUAGGCAUCUAGUGGCGGACGGGUGAGUAACGCGUGAGAAUCUGGCUCCAGGUCGGGGAUAACAGUUGGAAACGACUGCUAAUACCGGAUGUGCCGAAAGGUGAAAGAUUUAUUGCCUGGAGAUGAGCUCGCGUCUGAUUAGCUAGUUGGUGGUGUAAGGGACCACCAAGGCGUCGAUCAGUAGCUGGUCUGAGAGGAUGAUCAGCCACACUGGGACUGAGACACGGCCCAGACUCCUACGGGAGGCAGCAGUGGGGAAUUUUCCGCAAUGGGCGAAAGCCUGACGGAGCAAUACCGCGUGAGGGAGGAAGGCUCUUGGGUCGUAAACCUCUUUUCUCAAGGAAGAAGAAAGUGACGGUACUUGAGGAAUAAGCAUCGGCUAACUCCGUGCCAGCAGCCGCGGUAAUACGGAGGAUGCAAGCGUUAUCCGGAAUGAUUGGGCGUAAAGGGUCUGCAGGUGGAACUGAAAGUCUGCUGUUAAAGAGUUUGGCUUAACCAAAUAAAAGCGGUGGAAACUACAGAACUAGAGUGCGGUAGGGGCAAAAGGAAUUCCUGGUGUAGCGGUGAAAUGCGUAGAUAUCAGGAAGAACACCGGUGGCGAAAGCGUUUUGCUAGACCGUAACUGACACUGAGGGACGAAAGCUAGGGGAGCGAAUGGGAUUAGAUACCCCAGUAGUCCUAGCCGUAAACGAUGGAUACUAGGCGUGGCUUGUAUCGACCCGAGCCGUGCCGGAGCUAACGCGUUAAGUAUCCCACCUGGGGAGUACGAACGCAAGUUUGAAACUCAAAGGAAUUGACGGGGGCCCGCACAAGCGGUGGAGUAUGUGGUUUAAUUCGAUGCAACGCGAAGAACCUUACCAAGACUUGACAUCCUGCGAAUCCUGGUGAAAGCUGGGAGUGCCUUAGGGAGCGCAGAGACAGGUGGUGCAUGGCUGUCGUCAGCUCGUGUCGUGAGAUGUUGGGUUAAGUCCCGCAACGAGCGCAACCCUCGUUUUUAGUUGCCAGCAUUAAGUUGGGCACUCUAGAGAGACUGCCGGUGACAAACCGGAGGAAGGUGAGGAUGACGUCAAGUCAGCAUGCCCCUUACGUCUUGGGCUACACACGUACUACAAUGCUACGGACAGAGGGCAGCGAGCCAGGGAUGGCAAGCGAAUCCAGAAACCGUAGCUCAGUUCAGAUCGAAGGCUGCAACUCGCCUUCGUGAAGGAGGAAUCGCUAGUAAUUGCAGGUCAGCAUACUGCAGUGAAUUCGUUCCCGGGCCUUGUACACACCGCCCGUCACACCAUGGAAGUUGGUCACGCCCGAAGUCAUUACCCCAACCGAAAGGAGGGGGAUGCCUAAGGUAGGACUG